ensembl:misc_RNA
GUGCCUUAGACAAAGGACGCACGGGAGCCCCACCACACCUAGAGCCACGCUUUGAAGGAUCUGCCAAGCUCACUUUUAAUCAUGAGAAAGAAAUUACCCACAUGGAGUCAGCAGAAAAUGAGAAAGUAGAGCUCGUGCUGCGAAUAAUUCCAGCAAGUGCCAAGGGGCUAGUUGAGGAAUGGCUUCAUGAAG